rnacentral:misc_RNA from 1 species
GAUGAAGAACGUAGUGAAAUGCGAUAAGUAAUGCGAAUUGCAGAAUUCAGUGAAUCAUCGAAUCUUUGAACGCACAUUGCGCCCGCCAGUACUCUGGCGGGCAUGCCUGUCUGAGCGUCAUUUCAACCCUCGCCCCCGGCUUCUGUCGGGGACGGUGUUGGGGAUCGGCCUCCCGUCUUCCGGGUGGCCGGCCCCUAAAUUGAGUGGCGACCACGCCGUAACCUCCUCUGCGUAGUAGUUAAACACUCGCGGGCGGAGAGCGGUGCGGCCUGCCGUAAAACCCCCAACUCUUCUAAGGUUGACCUCAGAUCAGGUAGGAAUACCCGCUGAACUUAAGCAUAUCAAUAAGCGGAGGA